UGACACUGUUGCAGGAGAGGAAGGAAGGUGUGGGGAGAAAAAGCAAUGAACAGUUUAAUUGAUAUGUUUUCCUGAAGUAGUAAAGGAAUGAAACCUGGUUUAAAUAUUCAUAUCAUGUUAUGAGAGGUAGUGUAGGAAACAUUAUUGUGAAUUUAGAAAAUUGAAUUGCACAAUUUAGGCAAAAAUAGCUGAUUUGAACAUAUUCUCCUACUGAAAAACAUACAUGCAUAAAGUGGAGCUUCUUGCAUUGGCGUUAAAUAAAUAUCUGUAAUCAUAUGAAUACAAAAA